rnacentral:rRNA from 1 species
UUGAACGCUGGCGGCAUGCCUAACACAUGCAAGUCGAACGGCAGCGCGGGGAGCUUGCUCCCUGGCGGCGAGUGGCGGACGGGGGAGUAACGCGUGGGAAUCUGCCCAGUAGUGGGGGACAACAUGUGGAAACGCAUGCUAAUACCGCAUACGCCCUACGGGGGAAAGCAGGGGAUCUUCGGACCUUGCGCUAUUGGAUGAGCCCGCGUCCGAUUAGCUUGUUGGUGAGGUAAUGGCUCACCAAGGCGACGAUCCGUAGCUGGUCUGAGAGGAUGAUCAGCCACACCGGGACUGAGACACGGCCCGGACUCCUACGGGAGGCAGCAGUGGGGAAUAUUGGACAAUGGGGGAAAGCCUGAUCCAGCAAUGCCGCGUGUGUGAAGAAGGCCUGCGGGUUGUAAAGCACUUUCAAUUGGGAAGAAAAGCAGUCGGCUAAUACCUGGCUGUCUUGACGUUACCUUUACAAGAAGCUCCGGCUAACUCCGUGCCAGCAGCCGCGGUAAUACGGAGGGUGCGAGCGUUAAUCGGAAUUACUGGGCGUAAAGCGCGCGUAGGCGGUUAGGGCAGUCGGAUGUGAAAGCCCUGGGCUUAACCUAGGAAUUGCAUUCGAUACUGCAGGACUAGAGUAUGGGAGAGGGAAGUGGAAUUUCCGGUGUAGCGGUGAAAUGCGUAGAUAUCGGAAGGAACACCAGUGGCGAAGGCGACUUCCUGGCCCAAUACUGACGCUGAGGUGCGAAAGCGUGGGUAGCAAACAGGAUUAGAUACCCUGGUAGUCCACGCCGUAAACGAUGAGAACUAGAUGUCGGGGGGGUUUAGCCCCUCGGUGUCGCAGCUAACGCAUUAAGUUCUCCGCCUGGGGAGUACGCCGGCAACGGUAAAACUCAAAGGAAUUGACGGGGACCCGCACAAGCGGUGGAGCAUGUGGUUUAAUUCGAUGCAACGCGAAGAACCUUACCUGCCCUUGACAUCCUCGGAACUCGGCAGAGAUGCCUUGGUGCCUUCGGGAACCGAGAGACAGGUGCUGCAUGGCUGUCGUCAGCUCGUGUCGUGAGAUGUUGGGUUAAGUCCCGCAACGAGCGCAACCCUUGUCCCUAGUUGCCAGCGGUUCGGCCGGGAACUCUAGGGAGACCGCCAGCGACAAGCUGGAGGAAGGUGGGGACGACGUCAAGUCAUCAUGGCCCUUAUGGGCAGGGCUACACACGUGCUACAAUGGCCGGUACAGACGGUAGCUAACCCGCAAGGGGGAGCCAAUCCGAGAAAGCCGGUCGUAGUCCGGAUCGGGGUCUGCAACUCGACCCCGUGAAGUCGGAAUCGCUAGUAAUCGCGAAUCAGCAACGUCGCGGUGAAUACGUUCCCGGGUCUUGUACACACCGCCCGUCACACCAUGGGAGUUGGUUGCACCAGAAGUAGGUAGUCUAACCCUCGGGAGAGCGCUUACCACGGUGUGGCUAAUGACUGGGGUG